rnacentral:piRNA from 1 species
UCAGGAAGCUGGCUGAUCACAU